GAUGAAGAACGUAGCGAAAUGCGAUAAGUAGUGUGAAUGGCAGAAUUCAGUGAAUCAUCGAAUCUUUGAACGCACAUUGCGCCCCUUGGUAUCCCGAGGGGCAUGCCUGUUCGAGCGUCAUUUCACCACUCAAGCCUGGCUUGGUGUUGGGCGACGUCCUCUUUGGGGACGCGCCUCGAAACGCUCGGCGGCGUGGCACCGGCUUUAAGCGUAGCAGAAUCUUUCGCUUUGGAAGUCGGGGCCCCGUCUGCCGGAAGACCUGCUCGCAAGGUUGACCUCGGAUCAGGCAGGGAUACCCGCUGAACUUAAGCAUAUCAAUAAGCGGAGGA
rnacentral:misc_RNA from 1 species